AGGCCUAAUACAUGCAAGUCGAGGGGUAACAGGAAGUGCUUGCACUUCGCUGACGACCGGCGCACGGGUGAGUAUCGCGUAUACAAUCUGCCUCAUACUAGGGAAUAGCCCGAAGAAAUUUGGAUUAAUGCCCUAUAGUAUCUUUUUAAGGCAUCUUAUUAAGAUUAAAGGUUACGGUAUGAGAUGAGUAUGCGUUCUAUUAGCUAGUAGGUGUGGUAACGGCACACCUAGGCUACGAUAGAUAGGGGCCCUGAGAGGGGGAUCCCCCACACUGGUACUGAGACACGGACCAGACUCCUACGGGAGGCAGCAGUAAGGAAUAUUGGUCAAUGGACGAAAGUCUGAACCAGCCAUGCCGCGUGCAGGAUGACUGCCCUAUGGGUUGUAAACUGCUUUUAUAUAGGAAGAAAAACUUUCUCGUGAGAAAGCUUG
rnacentral:rRNA from 1 species